UGGAGAACUUGCAGAGAUAAGCAAAGCAGAAGCUUUUCCAUUAAAACUUACAUUUGUCCCAGCUGCCACACGAUCAUUACACCGAUAAAAAUCAAAGCCAGCUGGACUGGGAGCAAGACAGCCUAUGUAGGCUAAAGAAUUUGCUGAAGGUCACGUAACCUGAGGCCAAGCUGGAUCUUGUGACUCCCAGGCUGGUGCUUUGAUCCGGGACCCCUCCUGCUGUACAUGCUGUAAGACAAACCGAUUUUGAUACAACUAAAUAUCUCUUUGCAGUUUUGUGUAUGUUCUUUUCCUGGUGUGAGUUAUCUGAGUAGUGCCCUGUGGGGAG
rnacentral:lncRNA from 1 species